GGGGGAUAACUAUUGGAACCGAUAGCUAAUACCCCAUAAGAGUAGAUGUCGCAUGACAUUUGCUUAAAAGGUGCAAUUGCAUCACUACCAGAUGGACCUGCGUUGUAUUAGCUAGUUGGUGAGGUAACGGCUCACCAAGGCAACGAUACAUAGCCGACCUGAGAGGGUGAUCGGCCACACUGGGACUGAGACACGGCCCAGACUCCUACGGGAGGCAGCAGUAGGGAAUCUUCGGCAAUGGACGGAAGUCUGACCGAGCAACGCCGCGUGAGUGAAGAAGGUUUUCGGAUCGUAAAGCUCUGUUGUAAGAGAAGAACGAGUGUGAGAGUGGAAAGUUCACACUGAGACGUAUCUACCAGAAAGGACG
rnacentral:rRNA from 1 species